rnacentral:rRNA from 1 species
AUUGAACGCUGGCGGCAUGCCUUACACAUGCAAGUCGAACGGCAGCACGGGUGCUUGCACCUGGUGGCGAGUGGCGAACGGGUGAGUAAUACAUCGGAACAUGUCCUGUAGUGGGGGUUAGCCCGGCGAAAGCCGGAUUAAUACCGCAUACGAUCUACGGAUGAAAGCGGGGGACCUUCGGGCCUCGCGCUAUAGGGUUGGCCGAUGGCUGAUUAGCUAGUUGGUGGGGUAAAGGCCUACCAAGGCGACGAUCAGUAGCUGGUCUGAGAGGACGACCAGCCACACUGGGACUGAGACACGGCCCAGACUCCUACGGGAGGCAGCAGUGGGGAAUUUUGGACAAUGGGCGAAAGCCUGAUCCAGCAAUGCCGCGUGUGUGAAGAAGGCCUUCGGGUUGUAAAGCACUUUUGUCCGGAAAGAAAUCCUUGGCCCUAAUACGGUCGGGGGAUGACGGUACCGGAAGAAUAAGCACCGGCUAACUACGUG